rnacentral:rRNA from 1 species
UGGGGAAUAUUGGGCAAUGGGCGCAAGCCUGACCCAGCCAUGCCGCGUGAGUGAUGAAGGCCUUCGGGUCGUAAAGCUCUGUGGGGAGGGACGAACAGCCCGGCGGUUAAUACCCGCAGGGUCUGACGGUACCUCCUUAGCAAGCACCGGCUAACUCCGUGCCAGCAGCCGCGGUAAUACGGGGGGUGCAAACGUUGCUCGGAAUUAUUGGGCGUAAAGCGCACGUAGGCGGUCCUGUAAGUCGGGUGUGAAAGCCCCAGGCUUAACCUGGGAAGUGCACUCGAAACUGUAGGGCUUGAGUAUGGAAGAGGGUCUCGGAAUUCCCGGUGUAGAGGUGAAAUUCGUAGAUAUCGGGAGGAACACCAGUGGCGAAGGCGGAGACCUGGGCCAAUACUGACGCUGAGGUGCGAAAGCGUGGGGAGCAAACAGG